GUUUUAUUGAAUAUAAUUUUAAGUCAAAUCUGCUCAAUGAUAACUAUUUAUUAAAUAGCUGCAGUAUUCAUAACUGUACAAAGGUAGCAUAAUAAUUAGUUUAUUAAUUAUAAACUUGUAUGAACGAUUUAAUGAAAUAAAUACUAUUUCAAAUUAAAAUAAUAAAUUUAUUUUUUAAGUAAAAAAACUUAAAUAAAUUUAAAAGACGAGAAGACCCUUUAGAAUUUUAUAAUUUAAAUCAUUUAUUAAUUUAAAUAAAUAAUGUAAAUUAUUUAAUUGGGGAGAUUAUAAAAUUUAAUAAACUUUUAUUUAAAAAAACAAAAAUUAUUGAAUAAAAUAUAUUUUUUUAAAAAAAUUAAAAUAAAUUACCUAAGGGAUAACAGCAUAAUUUUUUUUUUAAGUUCAAAUUAAUAAAAAAGUUUAU
rnacentral:rRNA from 1 species